GACGAACGCUGGCGGCGUGCUUAACACAUGCAAGUCGAACGGAAAGGCCCUGCUUUUGUGGGGUGCUCGAGUGGCGAACGGGUGAGUAACACGUGAGUAACCUGCCCUUGACUUUGGGAUAACUUCAGGAAACUGGGGCUAAUACCGGAUAGGAGCUCCUGCUGCAUGGUGGGGGUUGGAAAGUUUCGGCGGUUGGGGAUGGGCUCGCGGCUUAUCAGCUUGUUGGUGGGGUAGUGGCUUACCAAGGCUUUGACGGGUAGCCGGCCUGAGAGGGUGACCGGACACAUUGGGACUGAGAUACGGCCCAGACUCCUACGGGAGGCAGCAGUGGGGAAUAUUGCACAAUGGGCGGAAGCCUGAUGCAGCAACGCCGCGUGCGGGAUGACGGCCUUCGGGUUGUAAACCGCUUUCGCCUGUGACGAAGCGUGAGUGACGGUAAUGGGUAAAGAAGCACCGGCUAACUACGUG
rnacentral:rRNA from 1 species